GUCUACGGCCACCCUGAACAAGCCCGAUCUCGUCUGAUCUCAGAAGCUAAGCAGAGUCAGGCCUGGUUAAUACUUGGAUGGGAGACCACCUAGGAAGACCAGGUACUGUAGGCG
rnacentral:rRNA from 1 species